GCUCUAACUUCAAAAUUUAAGGACAGGCUACUUAGAAAUAAAGGUUUUGCUUGUAUUUUCACAGAAAAUAAAAAGCUGUGAAUUCCUUCCAGACGAAUAUGGUUUGAUCAAGCAAGACCCCCUGAAUCUGAGAUGAUUACAGACUACAAAACAAGGACUUGGAACUACAUAUGGAGGAAAUCUCAGAGAGCAAAUGAUUGAAAAGAAUAGUUCAAGUAUUUUUAAACAAGCAGCAUGAUGUACAUGUUUAUGCCACCAUGAUACUGGAGCUCCAGAACCUGCAUAGGUGGAUCCUGAAUUGUAGACAAAUUGAACUUCCGUUCUUGAUGCAUCAUAGCAACUGUUUUAUCAGAACACUGGAAAUCAGAUCACAAAGAGAACAACAAUUAAUACAUAUACCCAUGGAAAGAAGACAGAGUGGGCUUGUUCCAAGUAGGGACUAGGAUGGCUCAGCCACAGAAUGCCAUUUCUAUAUGGACAUGGAAAAGAGUCAAAUAUCUCACAAAGUUUUUAUGAAAUCUGUGCUGCUGUUCUUUUGGUUUCCUGUGAAGACAACUGAAGCACAAGGACUUUGGAUGAUUGAUACACUCAACAAGAAAGCAAGUGUAAGCAUCACCAUGGCCUUGGAGUCCACAGAGCUACAGUGAGUCCUCAUACAGCUGACAUACCAAAUCCUGCAGUGAGGAAAUUGAGCCUUCUCAAAGACACUCAAACAAAACCUGGGGAAUUGCAUUUCCAGAACAAAACAGAAAUCUGUUUAGCAGAAAAGGUGACCAAUAACUAUCCUGAAAGAAUAUGGCCACACAAACACCAGAUGGACAACACAGUUUGAGGAGGUCCUUCUGAUGUAGAAUAAACUUCCAAUAAUCUAAAUUUUGAAGUGGUGAAGCCCUCACAAGAGAAAUGAAACCUCAGGAUGUCCCUUUUCUGAGCACUGCUUACAGAAAAACUUUCAAGUGACCCCCAAAAUAACAAUGAGACUUCAGAAAUAUCAUUCUCAGAAAAAUCAAACUUUGACAGCCAAAGCAGGACUUAUUGGCCAACAAUCACAGAGGAGUCCUGAUGGACAGAUGACCCUGAAACAUUGCCAGCUACAGUUGCCCUGGAAAUGAUGAUUCAUUCCUUCAAAACUUGGACAGCAUCAGAUGUCCCAACCAUGUCAUGAUCAGAAAUAGCUCAGCGUUUCCCAGAAAUAAUCAACUAUUAAUAUUAACAAAUCACUUGUUAAUCAGUGACAAGAUCAACAUUCGUGGAGAUCUUAAGAUUAAGGUGCUUAGUCACUUUACCUAGACCAAUAAACCAAUUUAUCUAUUUAUGACUUAAUUUUAAAGACAAAAUUGGAACCAAUUUUGUGUGAGAGAUAAAAAUAUAUCACUAAAAGUAAAAAUAAUGGAAAUAUCACCAAAGAAACAAAAAACAAUGACAACAUGACUCCUACCUGGGAAAACAGUUAUAAGAGCCCCUUGAUAGCACUAACCAGACUUCUCUGAAACUUAGUUAAUUCAACUAAAACUUAAUUAGAUUCCAUUAAAAAGGUUAAUUCCCCCCAUUUCAAAUGAAUGAGACUUUCCUUAUUUAUAUUCUUUAUUCCAGAUGCUUAAAUUGUAGCAAGGAAAGCUGUAGUCCAAGCCAUCUUGGAUUCCCACAAAAAAAGAAUUCUUUGUCUGUACAGUCAUGAUUUUACCUAUAAUACCUGUUGGCUUUCUAGGAUUUAUUGCCUGAGAUUACCACACAUUCACUGUGGGGUUAGAUGUAGAUACCCAAGCCUCCUUUCCAUCAGCCCCAAUAAUUGUUGCUAUUUCAACAAGACUUAAACCAUUUAGCUGGGUAGUUACAUUACAUGGAGUCAAUAUUAACUAAUCUUCCACAGCUAUAGCACAAUAGAGUCAACAACCAAGAGAGUUACUUUGGUAUACAGUGUUGUAGCAAUGUGUAAGUAUACUGUGCUAAAAGGAUACAGAUUAGGAAAAACUGACAAUGAAUAGGACUGUCUGCUUAAAUUGAAAGCAUUUAGGGGCAGAAAGAUGGUCCACAAGUCUGAGACUAUUCAAAAAUACAGAAAUUGGAAAAGAAAAGUAUGUUUAAGAAAUGUGCCUCAUUAGAGUAUGUUAACUACACUGAGCUUAGAAAGGCAUGAAGCAAACCCAGAAUAAGAGAAAGUUUGAUUCUCUGUAAGACUUUUGGAUUAUCCUGAAUAUGAUAGAAUAUCACUGUCUGGGUUUCAAUGCAAAAGGAAGGACACAAUGAUAAAUGAUCCAAUUUGUCAUUUGAAAGUAUGACUAUUGCAUUGUGUAAAGAAAUAGGGAAGUAAUGCAUGGAAUAAGGGAGACAAUUUGAAAUGCUGAGCAUAGUCUUUUUAGAUUGUAGGUAUUAUUUAGACUCUGGGUGCAUAUAUUUGCAUAUAAAGAGAAGGAUAUGAAAUAUGUUUAGUGUUGCAAAUUAGAGGAGGUAAUCAAAUGUCCUUCACUACUGUUGUAUAGAAUGCCACUCAGUUAUUCCAAAACCAAGUGUUGUCAUUUCUUUUGGUUCAUAAGUAUUAUAUAUAUAUAUAUAUAUAAUACUUAUAUAUAUAUUAUUUGAAAUUGCAGUGGGUAGUGAGCAAAGCCACAGUGAUAAUGUAACAUUGAGGGAAAAAAUGAAAUGGAGAAAUCAUUUUCUUCUUCCAAGGAGUGCUUGUAUGCUGCUAAAUGGAGUGUGAGUCUCAUGGUUCAUAGUUUUGAGGUAAAGCAAAACUCAAAUACAUGAAUAAAUUCACAGUACAAAUCAGAACCCACCACUAAGUAAUAAGUACUAUUAGCUUUGUAAUCAGUUGAUUAGCAGCAUAAAAGAUUAACAGAUUUUCUAUGUUUGUUUUAUGUUAGAGGAGAACUUUGUCUAGAAUUCAUAUUUUUGCUGUGAAAGGUACUAUAAAGAGUCACAGUUCUCUGAAGGUAUUAUCUUUGUCAAAUAUAUUAUUUUGAUAGGGAGUAUUUUUAAUAUCAAAUUCAACCAAGUAUAUAUAGUCUUAAAUAAUAUCAAUCAUUAGAUUAGAAGGGAUUAUAUUUUAUGUGCAUAAAAAUCCCAUUUUUCAAGUAGACUGAUCUUAAUAAAUAGUGUAGAAAAUAAAGGAUUUUACUUGCCAUGUGUCUCAUUUUCAAUCCAUUUAUUAAUUUUAUAUCUGGUUUCUUCUACACCAUUUGUGAAGUCAACUCUUUCCACGCUGGCAUUGUAUAACUUUUCAGCACAAUCAAUGUAAUUCUGCAAAUAAGAAAAUAGAGUCAGUAUUGUAAAUAUCAGCAAUUAAGAAUAAAAUAAAUAUAUUUUGAAUUA